GCAGCUGUGUUUCUAUGAAAUAUAUGCUUCUGGUGUUAUAUCUAAGCCAAUGAGCCAUUAUUUGGAACCGCAAUGAAAUAGAUUUAAAAACAUG